rnacentral:rRNA from 1 species
AGAGUUUGAUCCUGGCUCAGAAUCAACGCUGGCGGCGUGCCUAACACAUGCAAGUCGAACGAGAAAGCGUGGGCAACUUCGCAAGUACAGUGGCAGACGGGUGAGUAACACGUGAACAAUCUACCCUUGAGUGGGGAAUAACCCCGCGAAAGCGGGGCUAAUACCGCAUAACAUCUCUGAUUCGCAUGAUUUGGAGAUCAAAGGCUUCGGCCGCUCGAGGAGGAGUUCGCGCCUGAUUAGCUAGUUGGUGAGGUAACGGCUCACCAAGGCUGCGAUCAGUAGCCGGCCUGAGAGGGUGAACGGCCACACUGGAACUGAGACACGGUCCAGACUCCUACGGGAGGCAGCAGUGGGGAAUUUUGCGCAAUGGGCGAAAGCCUGACGCAGCAACGCCGCGUGGAGGAUGAAGGCCCUCGGGUCGUAAACUCCUGUCGAGGGGGACGAAAACCGGGCAACCGGUCUGACUGUACCCCUUGAGGAAGCCACGGCCAGCUCCGUGCCAGCAGCCGCGGUAAUACGGGGGUGGCAAGCGUUGUUCGGAAUUAUUGGGCGUAAAGGGCGCGCAGGCGGCUUGGCAAGUCAGAUGUGAAAUCCCUAAGCUUAACUUAGGAACUGCAUCUGAAACUGCUUAGCUUGAGUCCUGGAGGGGGUAGUGGAAUUCCCAGUGUAGCGGUGAAAUGCGUAGAUAUUGGGAGGAACACCUGUGGCGAAGGCGGCUACCUGGACAGUGACUGACGCUGAGGCGCGAAAGCUAGGGGAGCAAACGGGAUUAGAUACCCCGGUAGUCCUAGCCGUAAACGAUGGGCACUUGGUGUUGGGGGUAUUGAGUCCCUCGGUGCCGGAGUUAACACAUUAAGUGCCCCGCCUGGGGAGUACUGUCGCAAGACUGAAACUCAAAGGAAUUGACGGGGGCCCGCACAAGCGGUGGA